ACCACCCGCCGGGAGCAGCCGGCCUGCUCUGGGUGACCGAGCCGCGCGGUUCCGACGCGGCUCCUUCUCUAAAAUGAGCGGGUCCCUGCCGCGCAGAGCGCGCGUAGCCCGGCAGCGCCUAGUGGAUUACAGCAGCCGCCCCGGCCGACCGCCGCCUCCAGCCCGGCACCUCCGGUAAGAGCCGUCCCCUCCACGCGCCCCCAGCGCUGCCACCGAGAAGCUCGAGGCGCCCCCCCCGUUUGGGCAGCUCGGAGAUCCCUGCCCGACCCCCUCCCCUUCCCCGGGACCUGGGAGUGGCUGCCUGCGCCCUCUGCCCCAGAUCACUCCAUCUCUGAGCGGGCGUCCCCUGGGGCCCCGGGUGGGGUCCAGAUGAGCUCAGAAGUCGAAGGGAAGCCCUAUUUCCUCUGGAGGUUAUGGGAGGUGGGUAGCGGCAUAGACGGAGAGCCCCUCGGUCCCUACCCUGGGAAGAGUGUGCAGAUGCUUCCUGGAUGCGUCAGCUUUGCUGGGGGGUCACUAAAGGCACUCUGUAGUAUAGAGCAGUGUUUUGCGGUUUGUCUGUGGUCAGAGGUACCUGGGAGGCUAACAGGUGUGUUUUGAGGGUUGGAGCUUGGGGGUGGGGUGGAUUCUGUGUAUCCAGGAUGUGCUUGGUUUGUUAACCUAGGCUUUGAUGAGUGAUGCUAAUUUCUAGGGUUUAUGGUUUAUUGGGCCUUGUAUAUGAGAUGGAAUUUUAAAUAUUAACUGCUUCUCUAGUUCUUAGAUAAUUUUUGUAACAAUUCAAGAAAGGUUCCUCACACAUCUAAUAAUCUGUCAGGUGAAUUUGGAUUAUUCUAUGCCACAAAAUGGAUGCAUGUUUUGAGAGGUAGUAGUAUCAGAAAAUCUGGUUCAGGUCUUGGGGAAAAACCAAGAGACAUUUCAGAAAUUCGAAGCAUGUCUAAGUUCAGACAUCGCGUGUGUUUCUUAUUUGCCGGAUUGGGAAAAGAGUAGAUAUUUUGCUCUCUAAAUGUACUGUCGUGGUGUGUGUGUGUUGCCUGCGAAUAAAUAUUAUAUAGCAACAUUUCCAACUCUACUUCAAAAUUACUGGACCAAAAUAUCUAUGAGUCGAAAGAAAAUUGUUUGCAGAAAAAAAUGCUAUUUUCUCCCACGGAUUUUGAACGGCACUUGAGGAUGCAGUUCUCAAAUCCUAUUGCCUAUUCUCUCGUGGACACGUUGUGAAAUGUUAAAACCUUUGGGACAAUCUGCCGCAUUGCGCAUGAGGUUGACCUGCGCGCGGCGGAGUAUCGUUUUUUCAACCACCCAGAGGAAAACCCUAACAUUUUAAUGUUCUCCCAAAUAUUCCAGUGUAACCGUGUUGGCCGUAAAAGCAUUUCUGAACAAUAAAUGACAUCUUUGUAGAAAGGUAUUUUUAGUAAUUAACGACGGAAUCAUGCGAGUUUCAAAAUGGAGGGCCACGAUUAGUGGUCAGUUGACGUCUAGCAGAAUUGUUGUGGAUCACUAUGAUCACUAACAAAUUAGAAACUCAGUGAUUUUUAAAUCUGGAACGUCUGUAUUUUGUAAAUAUUUCUCUAUUACGGUACUGCUGAGAUCAUUCUUUCAUGUUGGUUUAGAGCAUUACCUACUGAAAAGCAGGGCCCUGGUCAGGGGCUCACAAGGCCCUCCCCUGGCAACUCCAGAGCCUAAGGAGCCCCUAGGUUGCCUGAAAGCUCGGUGGGGGUGGGGAUGAGUUGUGGCCAUGAUGGCCAAGCCCUUGUGUUCAGAGCUUCAGUCACCUUUCCCUGGGUUCGAUGGCUGAGCGCGCCCAAGUGACUGAGAACCUGGGCGGGCUGCAGGUCCGAUUACGCAGCAGAGGGUGACGUCAUGGGCAGAUAUGGAGGACUAGGGGGCUCUUUGUAAGUCCCAUGGUAGCAUUAAGAGUUUAAAUGGUCAAUUGCAUUAAGACCUUAAAUGGUCAAUUGCAUCUAAGGGAAUAAAUAAUCUGCAAAUCACAUUUGAACGCAGGCCAUUUAGUCCAAGAGGAACUAGUUAACGCUUUUGCCACUGCCAGAAAUGCCCCCACUGUCCCGGUUAACCC
ensembl:lncRNA